rnacentral:rRNA from 1 species
GACGAACGCUGGCGGCGUGCUUAACACAUGCAAGUCGAACGGAAAGGCCCCUUUGGGGGUACUCGAGUGGCGAACGGGUGAGUAACACGUGAGUAACCUGCCCUUGACUUCGGGAUAACUUCAGGAAACUGGGGCUAAUACCGGAUAGGAAUCCUUGCUGCAUGGUGGGGGUUGGAAAGCUUCGGCGGUUUUGGAUGGACUCGCGGCUUAUCAGCUUGUUGGUGGGGUAGUGGCUUACCAAGGCUUUGACGGGUAGCCGGCCUGAGGGGGCGACCGGCCACAUUGGGACUGAGAUACGGCCCAGACUCCUACGGGAGGCAGCAGUGGGGAAUAUUGCACAAUGGGCGGAAGCCUGAUGCAGCAACGCCGCGUGCGGGAUGACGGCCUUCGGGUUGUAAACCGCUUUCAGCAGGGGCGAAGCUUGUGGUGACGUUACCUGCAGAAGAAGCACCGGCUAACUACGUG